UACGAAGGGGGCUAGCGUUGUUCGGAUUUACUGGGCGUAAAGCGCACGUAGGCGGAUCGAUCAGUCAGGGGUGAAAUCCCAGAGCUCAACUCUGGAACUGCCUUUGAUACUGUCGAUCUGGAGUAUGGAAGAGGUGAGUGGAAUUCCGAGUGUAGAGGUGAAAUUCGUAGAUAUUGGGAGGAACACCAGUGGCGAAGGCGGCUCACUGGACUGGUACUGACGCUCAGGCGCGACAGCGUGGGGAGCAAACAGG
rnacentral:rRNA from 1 species